ensembl:snoRNA SNORD24 Small nucleolar RNA SNORD24
UGCCACAAUGAUGACAUAUUAUUUGCUACUCUUGACAGUGGGGAUGACGAUAGAUUUAAACCACCAUGAUUGUAACUGAGGCA